rnacentral:rRNA from 1 species
GAUGAACGCUGGCGGCGUGCCUAAUACAUGCAAGUCGAGCGAACAGAUAAGGAGCUUGCUCCUUUGACGUUAGCGGCGGACGGGUGAGUAACACGUGGGUAACCUACCUAUAAGACUGGAAUAACUCCGGGAAACCGGGGCUAAUGCCGGAUAACAUUUAGCACCGCAUGGUUCUAAAGUGAAAGAUGGUUUUGCUAUCACUUAUAGAUGGACCCGCGCCGUAUUAGCUAGUUGGUAAGGUAACGGCUUACCAAGGCAACGAUACGUAGCCGACCUGAGAGGGUGAUCGGCCACACGGGAACUGAGACACGGUCCAGACGCCUACGGGAGGCAGCAGUAGGGAAUCGUCCGCAAUGGGCGAAAGCCUGACGGAGCAACGCCGCGUGAGUGAUGAAGGUCUUCGGAGCGUAAAACUCUGUUAUUAGGGAAGAACAAAUGUGUAAGUAACUGUGCACGUCUUGACGGUACCUAAUCAGAAAGCCACGGCUAACUACGUG